AGGGUUCGAUUCUGGCUCGAGGAUGAACGCUAGCGACAGGCUUAACACAUGCAAGUCGAGGGCAGCAUAAAAGUAGCAAUACGUUGGUGGCGACCGGCGCGACGGGUGAGUAACCGCGUAUGGACAACCUACCUAUACGAGGAGGGGAACUAACCCCGGCGAAAGUCGGACUAAUACCGCAUAAAACAGGGGCACCGCAUGGUGAUAUUUGUUAAAGAAAUUCGCUGAUAGAUGGGCAUGCGUUCCAUUAGGUAGUUGGUGAGGUAACGGCUCACCAAGCCGACGAUGGAUAGGGGAACUGAGAGGUUGGUCCCCCACACUGGUACUGAGACACGGACCAGACUCCUACGGGAGGCAGCAGUGAGGAAUAUUGGUCAAUGGGCGGGAGCCUGAACCAGCCAAGUCGCGUGAAGGAAAAGAAGGAUCUAUGGUUCGUAAACUUCUUUUGCAGGGGAAUAAAGUGCAGGACGUGUCCUGUUUUGUAUGUAGCCUGAGAAUAAGGAUCGGCUAACUCCGUGCCAGCAGCCGC
rnacentral:rRNA from 1 species